rnacentral:tRNA from 1 species
GCUAAGCAGCAAAGCACCUGCCUGGCAAGCAUGAAGCCCUGAGUUCGAUUCCCAG